AGAUUGAACGCUGGUCGGCAUGCCUAACACAUGCAAGUCGAGCGGGCAGCGCGGGGGGCAACCCUGGCGGCGAGCGGCGGACGGGUGAGUAAGGCAUCGGAAUCUGCCCUGAUGUGGGGGAUAACGUAGGGAAACUUACGCUAAUACCGCAUACGACCGAGAGGUGAAAGCGGGGGACCGAAAGGCCUCGCGCAGCAGGAUGAGCCGAUGUCCGAUUAGCUAGUUGGUAGGGUUAAUGGCCUACCAAGGCGACGAUCCGUAGCUGGUCUGAGAGGACGACCAGCCACACUGGGACUGAGACACGGCCCAGACUCCUACGGGAGCAGC
rnacentral:rRNA from 1 species